rnacentral:rRNA from 1 species
AACGUAGGAGCCUAGCGUUAUCCGAAUUUACUGGGCGUAAAGCGCAUGUCGGCGGCCGAGUAAGUUGGCUGUGAAAUCUCCCGGCUCAACUGGGAGAGGUCGGUCAAGACUGCUGGGCUGGAGGAUGGCAGAGGGAGGUGGAAUUCCCGGUGUAGUGGUGAAAUGCGUAGAUAUCGGGAGGAACACCAGUGGCGAAAGCGGCCUCCUGGGCCAUACCUGACGCUCAGAUGCGAAAGCUAGGGGAGUGAACGGG